rnacentral:rRNA from 1 species
AUUGAACGCUGGCGGCAUGCCUUACACAUGCAAGUCGAACGGCAGCGGGGGAGAAGCUUGCUUUUCCUGCCGGCGAGUGGCGAACGGGUGAGUAAUACAUCGGAACGUGCCCUGUAGUGGGGGAUAACUAGUCGAAAGAUUAGCUAAUACCGCAUACAACCUGAGGGUGAAAGUGGGGGACCGCAAGGCCUCAUGCUAUAGGAGCGGCCGAUGUCUGAUUAGCUAGUUGGUGGGGUAAAGGCCUACCAAGGCGACGAUCAGUAGCUGGUCUGAGAGGACGAUCAGCCACACUGGGACUGAGACACGGCCCAGACUCCUACGGGAGGCAGCAGUGGGGAAUUUUGGACAAUGGGCGAAAGCCUGAUCCAGCAAUGCCGCGUGUGUGAAGAAGGCCUUCGGGUUGUAAAGCACUUUUGUCCGGAAAGAAAUGGCUCUGGUUAAUACCUGGGGUCGAUGACGGUACCGGAAGAAUAAGGACCGGCUAACUACGUGCCAGCCGCCGCCGUAACAC